rnacentral:rRNA from 1 species
UUUGCCGGCGAGCGGCGGACGGGUGAGUAAUGUCUGGGAAACUGCCUGAUGGAGGGGGAUAACUACUGGAAACGGUAGCUAAUACCGCAUAACGUCGCAAGACCAAAGAGGGGGACCUUCGGGCCUCUUGCCAUCAGAUGUGCCCAGAUGGGAUUAGCUAGUAGGUGGGGUAACGGCUCACCUAGGCGACGAUCCCUAGCUGGUCUGAGAGGAUGACCAGCCACACUGGAACUGAGACACGGUCCAGACUCCUACGGGAGGCAGCAGUGGGGAAUAUUGCACAAUGGGCGCAAGCCUGAUGCACCCAUGCCGCGUGUAUGAAGAAGGCCUUCGGGUUGUAAAGUACUUUCAGCGGGGAGGAAGGUGGUGAGGUUAAUAACCUCAGCAAUUGACGUUACCCGCAGAAGAAGCACCGGCUAACUCCGUGCCAGCAGCCGCGGUAAUACGGAGGGUGCAAGCGUUAAUCGGAAUUACUGGGCGUAAAGCGCACGCACGCGGUCUGUCAAGUC